rnacentral:rRNA from 1 species
GUGAGGAAUUUUCCGCAAUGGGCGAAAGCCUGACGGAGCAAUGCCGCGUGAAGGAUGAAGGCCUAUGGGUUGUAAACUUCUUUUCUUAGAGAAGAAUAUUGACGGUAUCUGAGGAAUAAGCAUCGGCUAACUCUGUGCCAGCAGCCGCGGUAAGACAGAGGAUGCAAGCGUUAUCCGGAAUGAUUGGGCGUAAAGCGCCGGUAGGUGGCGUCAAAAGUCUCCUGUCAAAGAUCAGCGCUUAACCCUGGGCCGGCAGGAGAAACUCUGCGGCUAGAGUUUGGUAGGGGCAGAUGGAAUUCCCGGUGGAGCGGUGAAAUGCGUAGAGAUCGGGAGGAACACCAAAGGCGAAAGCACUCUGCUGGGCCACAACUGACACUGAGAGACGAAAGCGAGGGGAGCAAAAGGGAUUAGAAACCCCAGUAGUCC